rnacentral:lncRNA from 1 species
UGGUACAUUGGAGGAAAACUAGACAAUUUAUUCAAUAAUGGUUUCUAUUAUUUUCCAUUUUGAUUUUUUUUUGUUCCAAUUCAGUUAGAAAUAAUUUUAGAUGUUAAAAAUGUUGAAAAAAUUGGGUAGAUAAAAAGUUAUAGUCCGGGUUCAGAUACAAUAAAUCAAUACAUUUGUUCUUAAACAUAAUGUUAAGAUAUUAUAUAUAUAUAUAAAAAAAAGGACUGUUUUUAAACUAAACUAGACAUUAUUUAUAGGAAACCCUAUUUCUACAUGGUCAGAAGUAUGUAAACUAGGACGGGCAUUUCCAAAUCUGGAAUCUUUGGUACUUGCUGAAUGUCCUCUGCAGUCACUUAUGACUCCACCACCUUCACCAGACUCUCAUUUAGGCCUUUUAUCUUACCCAAGGAAAGAUAAUGAAUUUUGUGGUGAGUUUACCUAAUUAGUAUAAAAAAAUAAUCAAUUAUUAAUUAUUAUAUCAUAAAAUAUUGCACUUCUAAGAUAUGACGUUGGAUUCACCACAUGACGCUUUCAUACAUCUAAGAUUCCUUAACUUAAACAGAACCCUAAUUAGAACAUGGGCCGAUGUAGAUAUCCUGGGCCGAUUCCCUGCAUUAAGAUACCUUAGAAUACAGGGCUGUCCAUUAUUUGAAGUAAGUAGCGACUAUUAAAAAUUCUUAAAUUUCUAUUCUUAAAAUAUUUAUAUAGAUAUAUUCCAAAUUUAAUGGGAACUUUGAUGAUUGUUUUUAUUUUAGGAAAACUCUGAAAGACAAGAAUACACAGAACAUGAACGUAGGCAGUUGUUGAUUGCACGAUUGCCCCAUAUACAAACUUUAAACGGAGGUGCAGAAAUUACAGCUGAUGAAAGAGAAGAUGCCGAACGGUUUUUAAUCCGAUACUAUAUGGAUAAGCCAGAAAAUGAACACCCAGAUAGGUAAAAAAACAUUACUGAUUUAAUUGAUGUCCACCAAAAAAGUAUUCUCCCACCAUUCAGGUUUAGUUAUGAUAUUUCAGUGAUGAUGACAGAAUAUCUCAGGUAGGUAUUCCAUAAUAUUAUAUACGGUACCCGAUGUUAUACCUAUCUUAUAUCAUUAAUUUUACUGUAUAGAUUUUACCAAAUAUUGUUCUUAAAAUAUCAAAUAAGUGAAUUUCACACAUAUA